rnacentral:rRNA from 1 species
GUAUCAUGGCUCAGGACGAACGCUGGCGGCGUGCUUAACACAUGCAAGUCGAACGGGAUUUAGUAGACAGAAACCUCGGUGGAAGAUUACUAAUGAGAGUGGCGAACGGGUGAGUAACGCGUGAGCAACCUGCCUAUGACAGUGGGAUAGCCUCGGGAAACCGGGAUUAAUACCGCAUAAAAUCGUAGAAACACAUGUUUCAACGGUCAAAGAUUUAUCGGUCAUAGAUGGGCUCGCGUCUGAUUAG